ACAGGUUAGUUUGCUGAGCAUUGUUCUAAACCCAGCUGUUCACUUAAAACAGGAAACUUGCAAGACAGAAGGACAUCACACUGAACAAAUCCAGGCUCCACCUCCACUUUACCUUGGUUUGAGUGCUUGCCGGUGCCAGGCUCCGGGUCCUGAGUGGCUCUUUGUUGCCUCAAAGACCAAACCCUGUCCAGUCAGACUUGCACAGCUCUCUGUCUUCAUUGGAACUGACUCAUUGGAAGAGACCCUGGUGCUGGGAAAUAUUGAAGGCAAGAGGAGAAGGGGAUGACAGAGGAUGAGAUGGUUGGAUGGCAUCACCAACUCGAUGGACAUGAGUUUGAGCAAGCUCCAGGAGUUGGUGAUGGACAGGGAGGCCUGGCAUGCUGCAGUCCACAGGGUCGCAAAGAGUCAGACACGACUGAGCAACUGAACUGAACUGUCUUAAUUUUCUCAUGCAGUCCUCAAAGCAGCUCUGGGCCGUGUCUCAUCACCCACUUCUACACGUGUCCAACUCUGCAAUUCAGGAUCAGCAAUUGCCCUGAAUCUCCCAGCUCCUGAGUAGUACUGAGAGGACUUGAACCCAGGAUUCUGAUAACAAUUCACUGGCUCUUUUUUUUUGUUUUUUCCACCAUUUAGCAUAUUCCUAGGGAGAUGCCAUUUUCUCAAAUGUUUGGGCAAUGGCAGCUUGGUUUAAGUGCGGAAUAAGUGUGUGGCCUCACAAUUAGGAGAUAAAGGAGACCACUGUGGAGAAGACCACUGUUUGAAAAAAAACAUAAAAAGGCUUUACUAUCGUGGUGAUAUGCUUACCACACCCGCUUCUAUACCCAUGGACUCACUUUUCCUGCCUCUUGUCUGCAAGUUCCUCCUCCUCCCCUGUCUCUUCUCCUCCUACUUCUCUUUUCUUCACUUUUUUUUUUUUUCAUCUUUCUCAAUGAUCCCUCUCCCUGAAAGGGAGAAAAGGCUUUCCAGAGCCCUCUGCUUAUAUAAUUUCUUCCUCCAUUAAUCUGUUGUCAAUUAGUUAAUAAUUAAUUACUAAGUGACCUACUAAUACUGGUUUGUUAGUACUCCUCUGAUGGCCUUUAUCAUAUUCUGCCUUGUUGUCAUCAUUACUUGGGGACUUGUCUUAGGGCAUCUGUUCAAUUCUCGGCUGGAUGAGAACAGUUUCUGGGUUGGUCUCACCCAGCCUGAACUUCUCGUGUGGUAUCAGAGGCUGGGCCAGAGCAAGACACUGAUUUAGCUCAAAGGUGCUGACAGCAGCCCAAUUCCCUCACCAGCAAAUGUCAAGAGGAAAUAUCUGCCAUGGAGAGGCCCCAAGAGUGUGAGCCAGAGGCAUGUAUUUUUGUCCAAAGGAGGGAUGUUCCUAGUCUGCUCCAGCAAGAAAGGAAGAGACUGGCUGGCGUGAAACCCAAGGAGGAAGCUGACUUAGAGGCCACCAAGGCUAGUGCAUUGUAAUAGGAUAAGCUGAAGCUGGAAUUAUUAACAGGAAUUUGGUUGGAGCAGUAUAUGAAUCAAACGAAACUUCCUGAAAGUCGAUUAUGAAGAGAUGUGUUCUUCUUACCUUUAGAAUUACUUACUAUGCAUUCAUAAUGGCAACACCAACAUUUAUAAGGGAAAAAAUGUAUCCAGAAUCCUGUUACCCAGCAAGUCAGCUUUUUCCAGUUUUUUCUACACCCAGGUAAUUCACUGAUGCAUAGGUUAAAUAAAUGCUUACUG
ensembl:lncRNA